CUCAUGGAGACUGACCAGUUGGAUGUGUUAACAGAAAAAGAAAAUAUUUGCGAUAAUCUUAUUGAAAUUUCAGCAUCCGAAUAUACAGUUACAUCAGAAGAGUCAGGAAGUCAAAAUUAUUUAUCCCAGUCACAACAAUCAGUCAGAAGUUAUGAACGUUGCAGCUACUUGACAUCUUUGAAUGAUUUCCUGUCAUCAGUCAGAUUGCAGGAAUUCUCAGAAAAAGAAAGAAAAACAUGGCGGUCCUACACAUUUAAAACAAGAAAUACCUACAAAUAAGAUUUGAUGAGAUUAUGAAA